rnacentral:lncRNA from 1 species
GCAGCUGCGUUAUUAGAGCUCCACGGCGGAUCUCGGGGCUCUUCUGCUCGCUUUUUUUCCUCUUCAGAAAUUAAAGCAGAGGAGCAUCUGAAAGUGGAAAGGUCCCCCUUCUGGUAGGAUGGAUGUAAAAGGAGGCAACAAUUUGUUCUUGAGGGGGCAAAAAAAAAAAAAAAAAAAAAGAAAAAGAAAAAGAAAAAGAAAGGAGGGGGGAAAUUCAUUGCUUGGCUUUUGCAUUGUCGGACUUUAAAAAAGUGUGUCUGCUGUUGUUGCCCGGACUCGGGAAAUCUUUUUUAUGGCAACCGCAGACCUGCCAAGUCUCUCUUACUUGGAAUCUUUAUAAAGGCAAGUUAUUUGGACUUUUUUUUUAUUUUCUCGUUUAGAGAAAGUCAUUGAUGCUGACGAAUGUCAU